UAUCUUCUAUGAAUUACUGAA
rnacentral:piRNA from 1 species